ACCAACAUGUGCAGAGGACACAUGGGCAAACCCUUGACAGAAUAUAUUCUGUACAAUUGGCCGCCAUUAAAAUAAUUCUGAAUCGUAAAAUAGGUAGUCUAAAUCCGCAGAACGGAAGGAGGAUAGAAAAUAAUUCAUGCUCAAAUCACAAUCGAACUGUCUCAAUCCAUUCUCCGACCACAUACUGCCCUCCCUUAUCUGACCAAUGUACGAUUUCAGAGACGCCUACCCUUUUAUUUUCAAGAGUCCUCUGAUUUCGGUAUUCCUUCACCAAGACUUUUUGUUUUAUGCUUUCCCUAGCCAACUUCGACUCAGCUUCCUCGUACGUGCUCCCCAUAUCUCACCAGUUCUGGGAGGGACCUUCCUUUGAGCGGCAUCCAUAUUUAUUUGCCCUAUUUGUUCUUCUGAGAGCAGAAAACCACAAUGGAAUUUUUUUCUGUAAGAUUUGUUGUAUUUGUUGCGAUUAUUGGCGGAGUCCACGGGAUUCAACAUUUCAGAGAAAUGAGAGGGAACGCGACGGACUGGGGAGGAUUUGAAAUGGCGAAAUUUAUGGAGGAUGCGCUUGAGGGUGGAUCUGUUUCCACUCUGCUAGGGCUGCCAUUGCAGGCUGCUAAAGUGUGGCCUGCUUUGGAAUUCGACUGGAGGAUUGUGGUGGCGACCAUUAUUGGAUUCGUUGGAUCGGCUUGCGGAACUGUAGGCGGAGUCGGAGGCGGUGGUAUAUUUGUUCCUAUGCUCAAUCUUAUCGUUGGAUUUGAUACCAAAUCUGCCGCGGCUUUAUCUAAAUGUAUGAUUAUGGGCGCUUCAGCUUCAUCUGUAUGGUAUAAUUUGAGAGUUAGACAUCCUACAAAACACGUGCCAAUUAUUGAUUAUGAUCUUGCACUUCUGUUUCAACCGAUGCUAAUGUUGGGUAUCACAAUUGGAGUGACUCUGAGUGUUAUUUUCCCCUAUUGGCUGAUCACAGUUCUCAUCAUUAUCCUUUUUCUAGGUACAUCUUCUAGAUCAUUUUACAAGGGGAUAGAAAUGUGGAAACGAGAAACAAAGAAAAAGGAGGAGGAGGAAUUAAUGUUGGCUGCAGAAGCAGGUGCAGAUUAUGAAGCGAUUGUAUCUGACCAAGAAGAAAGUGGCACACUUGCAACAAUCCGUUUCAACAUUAAAUGGGCUGGAUUCUCAAUGCUUAUGCUUGUAUGGAUUUUAUUUACAGCUCUACAAAUCAUCAAGAACAAUACUGUUGUUUGUGGUUGGGAGUACUGGGUAUUAAGUGUUCUACAGGUUCCAGUAGCAUUUGGACUUUGUUUAUAUGAAGCAAUAGUACUGUUCAAGAAAAGUAAGCAUAAGAGAGAAUGUGGCGAUACAGAUGAUGUAUGUGAGGCUUCAGUUGAGUGGAGCCCAAUCCAAUUAUUUUUUUGUGCAUUUUGUGGUAUCCUUGGGGGCAUGGUGGGGGGUUUGCUUGGUUCUGGUGGUGGUUUCAUAUUAGGACCUCUACUACUUGAACUUGGUGUAAUUCCACAGGUAGCAAGUGCCACUGCAACCUUCGUGAUGAUGUUUUCUUCCUCACUUUCUGUGAUAGAAUUCUAUUUUCUUGACAGGUUUCCAAUUGGUUAUGCAUUGUAUCUUAUAGGCAUUUCUGUUUUAGCCGGAUUCUGGGGCCAAUAUAUGGUGCGGAAGCUAGUGACAUUUCUGGGAAGGGCUUCAAUUAUUGUCUUCAUUCUUUCUGGUGUAAUUUUUGCCAGUGCAUUGACUAUGGGUGUCGUUGGAAUAGAAACAACAAUUGCCAUGAUGAAAGAACACCAGUACUUGGGUUUCCUUAGUCUGUGCGACGAAUCUUAGCAAAUAAAAUGGCAGAGACUCUGCAGCAUUGGAGCUACUACUUUUGUGCUGUUUUAAUCAGCCUGUUUAUGUCAGUGUGGGCUACUUCAGCAUUUAAUAAAUCUAACUCAUUCUCCUGGUUCGAUAUUUUUUUCAUUCACCUUGCUGCAGGGAUCGCUGUCAUUUGGUAUGGGCCUCCACCUACACAUGGAGGCGUGGAGAAGACACGUCAAGAUAGGACGAAAUGCAUUGCAAAUACUGAAUAAUGUUAACAAUAUGGAUUGAUUCAGGUGCACAAGGACUUAAAAAGGGAUGCUUAGUCAGGUACUAUUUUCAUAUUCCAUACAAGCAAUGAACUAGAACUAUGGUUGUUGAAAGUUUGUAAUUAAAUGACCUGGUUUUGAAUUUCUGCAUACAAUCACUAUUUGAAACUAAGCCUCCUGGUUGGUUUUGGGAUCUAGACAAUUAUCACAGAGCUUCAAAGAAGUGGUUAGUGCAUAGUUUGCACAUCUAUUUUUCGGAGUUCAUGUUUAAGAAACCUUUGUGAGUACCAACUAUGCUAAGAAUUAUUUCAUGUCUUUCGUACAUGAUACUUGCCAUUAAAA